rnacentral:telomerase_RNA from 2 species
GGCGGGUUGCGGGAGCUGCGAGCGGCCGUCUCGUCUAACCCUAAAGAGAAAGGCGUAGGUGCUUGGCCUUGGCGACUCGCCCGCUGUUUUUUGGCUGGCUUUCAGCGGGUGAAGAGGCCCAAGACCUACCGCCACCCACCGUCUAGUGUCUUAAGGGCACAAAGUCCUGCCCGCCACCCUUCGAGGAGCGAAACCCAAAAAAGUCAGCCCCUGGCCGCCUCUCGCCCUCUCGCAACCCGCCUCCGUCCCAGCCUCCAUCCCCGCCCCAGGCCGCGGUCGGUCCGGGCUUCUUCGGAAGUCCCGUUGCCGUCGCGAAGAGUUCGCCUCUGUCAGCCGCGGGGCUUGGGGCCAGGGACGGGACCCUGUCCGCAGGGAGAGAAACUGGAGCCGGGCCCUCCACGGUGCCUCCCCGAGCUGUGGGAUCUGCACCCGGGACUCGAACCCUACACUU